rnacentral:rRNA from 1 species
ACCGGCAGCUCAAGUGGUGGCCAUUAUUAUUGGGCCUAAAAAGAAGGAAGCCGGUUUGAUAAGUCUCUGGUGAAAUCCCGCAGCUUAACUGUGGGACUUGCUGGAGAUACUAUCAGACUUGAGGUCGGGAGAGGUUAGGGGUACUCCCAGGGUAGGGGUGAAAUCCUAUAAUCCUGGGAGGACCACCUGUGGCGAAGGCGCCUAACUGGAACGAACCUGACGGUGAGUAACGAAAGCCAGGGGCGCGAACCG